rnacentral:rRNA from 1 species
UGGGGAAUAUUGCACAAUGGGCGCAAGCCUGAUGCAGCCAUGCCGCGUGUGUGAAGAAGGCCUUCGGGUUGUAAAGCACUUUCAGCGAGGAGGAAGGUGGUGAACUUAAUACGUUCAUCAAUUGACGUUACUCGCAGAAGAAGCACCGGCUAACUCCGUGCCAGCAGCCGCGGUAAUACGGAGGGUGCAAGCGUUAAUCGGAAUUACUGGGCGUAAAGCGCACGCAGGCGGUUUGUUAAGUCAGAUGUGAAAUCCCCGGGCUCAACCUGGGAACUGCAUUUGAAACUGGCAAGCUAGAGUCUCGUAGAGGGGGGCUAGAAUUCCAGGUGUAGCGGUGAAAUGCGUAGAGAUCUGGAGGAAUACCGGUGGCGAAGGCGGCCCCCCUGGACGAAGACUGACGCUCAGGUGCGAAAGCGUGGGGCAGCAAACAGGAUUAGAUACCCUGGUAGUCCACGCUGUAAACGAUGUCGAUUUGGAGGUUGUGCCCCUUGAGGCGUGGCUUCCGGAGCUAACGCGUUAAAUCGACCGCCUGGGGAGUACGGCCGCAAGGUUAAAACUCAAAGG